UGUUUUUGUUUUUGUUUUUUAAAUAACAUUCAGAAAGAUGUAAGGUUUUGUUUUGUUUUCAGAAGAUGAAAAGACUUGGUUUUGGAUCCUGAUACUUUAAAAAGUAAGCUGAUUAUAUGUCAAUCAUAGCCAAGAGAAGUGAUCAGCAUUAUAAGAUCCUUAGGAUCUUUUGUUCAUAAUUUAACAAAUAAGCCCCAGUUUCUUUUCUUGUGACUGUAGAAAUGCAAUCUCAAUGUGAUAAACUCAUGCUGAGUUAUAGAAGCCAUGCAAGCACCACUUUCAUUUACCUUGUAUGAUGUUGCUUCCCAGCUUGUAAUAUUCUCCUAAGAUGAAAUGACUAUGCUUAUUGUUCUUACUACACUAACCAUACAUAUUUUAAGAGUUUUUUGUUUGGCUUUAUUUUCCCAAGUAUUAGAUUAUUACACCUACCUUAGACAAAUUCUUUGAAUUUCUGAAUUACCAUUUUUCACUGUUUCAUUGCUUAUAUAAAAAAUUUUGUGGGCUCUUAAUUAUCUGUUUAUAUAAAAAACUUGACCAUAUCUUGUAGCUUAAUGGAAGAACAUUAACUUGAUUAAUGUUAGAUUUUCUUUUUAAAGACAUUGUUUCAUAUAUUCAAUAGUUUAUCAUUCUUACGUACAUUAAACAUCCUCUUUGCAAUUUUAUGCAAAGUAUUACCUAGAAUAUUUUUUUUCUGAGGCAAUGCAAAAAUGAAUUUGAGGCUGUUAUAUUGGUGAAUUCAAGUUGAGAACACAGUUUACUAUGGUUUAAGAAAAUUCUUGUUGAAUCUGAAUACUUUAUUGGACUUUUUGUUUUAUGGGCCUAGGACAUUGUUGUAUCUACUUUCUUUGGGAAAGAAUGGAGUUAAGUAUUAAGCAUAGUUGGUAUGUAUAGAAUCGUAUCAAUUACAUAGACUUUAAAAAGCCUUAUUAAAAAUUAAAUAUAGAAGUUACUCAUGCUUUGAAAGUAUAGAUGAUUGAAGUAGUAUCAAGCUCUAUUUAUUAGGCAUUAUAUAAAACAUGGUUGAAUUUCAUUCUAAAACUCUACCUUCCUGUUGCUUCCUCAGCCUGUUAAUUAAAUUAUAUGUUGUCGCUUUGGACACCAUCUCUAAAAUCUAUAUGAUGUAAUUCUAUUCAAAGUUCUG